UUAAAUAUCCAAUAUUCACAUUAUGAUUCAUAAUGAUGAGACCACAGUUAUGAAGUAGCCACAAAACCGUUUUAUGGUUGGGGUUCACCACAACAUGAGGAGCUGUAUUAAAAGGUUGGAGCUGUAGUAAAGGGUGGGCACAGCAUUAGGACAGUUGAGAACCACUGCCCUAAAGCAACCUUACUGGUCAGUUUGCCCCCAUCAUGGAUGAGAGCUUCCCCUAGGCUGCAUAGAUGACCCAGCACCGCCACCCACUCCUUCUGUCCUCCCCAGCCAAUACACUUGCAGAUUCUGUGAGACCUUGAAACUCUAGGCAAUUAGGGCAGAAUUGCAUGUGCCUGGUAAGGAGGAGGGGCUGAACACUCAGGUGAAGAACUAGCCAUCCUCCCUGUGCCCUCCUUUGAUGAGGGAAAGUCUAUGA
rnacentral:lncRNA from 1 species